rnacentral:lncRNA from 1 species
UUGUCAUGUGACUGUCGGGCUGUCCCCCAGAGUUGGCGGGGGAUUUUCAGAGCUCUGUGUAGCAUGUGAAAUCGUGAUAUGGUGAAAAGGGCACUAGCUUGGGAGUUCCGUGAUCUCCUUGAACCCUCCAGGCUUUAAUUUCAUCAUCGGGAAACACACAAGGCAGCCGCGAAGUUUACUGUCCAUGCAAGGACCCACUUGAGAGCGGAUGGCCGUGCCAACCAGAUGGAACGCCCGGACAGCAGGUGUAAACCAGGACAUCCUGGCAAACAGGUC